rnacentral:tRNA from 1 species
GGGGUUGUAGCUCAGUGUUAGAGCACUUGCCUCGCAUGUGUGAAGCCCUGGGUUCGAUCCCCAGCAUCACAU